rnacentral:tRNA from 1 species
CCUUUAAGCUCAGUGGUCGAGCGUUGGCUUUGAAAGCCACAGGUCGGUGGCUCGAUCCACGUCCAGGA